rnacentral:rRNA from 1 species
AGUGAACGCUGGCGGUAGGCCUAACACAUGCAAGUCGAACGGCAGCACAGUAAGAACUUGCUCUUACGGGUGGCGAGAGGCGGACGAGUGAGGAAUACAUCGGAAUCUACUUUUUCGUGGGGGAUAACGUAGGGAAACUUACGCUAAUACCGCAUACGACCUACGGGUGAAAGCAGGGGAUCUUCGGACCUUGCGCGAUUGAAUGCGCCGAUGUCGGAUUAGCUAGUUGGCGGGGUAAAGGCCCACCAAGGCGACGAUCCGUAGCUGGUCUGAGAGGAUGAUCAGCCACACUGGAACUGAGACACGGUCCAGACUCCUACGGGAGGCAGCAGUGGGGAAUAUUGGACAAUGGGCGCAAGCCUGAUCCAGCCAUACCGCGUGGGUGCAGAAGGCCUUCGGGUUGUAAAGCCCUUUUGUUGGGAAAGAAAAGCAGCAGGUUAAUACCCCGCUGUUCUGACGGUACCCAAAGAAUAAGCACCGGCUAACUUCGUG